UGGUUUUGUUUUAUUUUGUUUUUAACAAUAGUCAUCCUGAGAGUAGUACUUUUAAAACCAGAAAUAAGUAAGAAAAGAAAUAUUCCCCAGAGCUUCUCCAGGCUACAGUCUAUGCCACCAGGAAAGACUGAAUCAUUGAGACCCAUAGGAAAGCGUGUGCUGGGAGGUCCCCGUGGGCACCAGGGAGGUGUGUUUGAACUCCAGCCCAGCCCACAUUAGCUUACCCAACAGUCCCCCAGAGCCAGCACAAUUUCAGGCCAUAAUCUCCCUGGUCACCACUGGCUCCUCAGGUGACUUGGAAGUAGAUGACUCCUCUGUGGGCGUGGGUUAGUGCCUCAAAGGCAUGCUGACCAGCACUGGUUUGGGCCAGGCUGAGAUGCUAGCCACACUCCUAUGCCCAUCCCCAAGUUCAAAGGUCAGAAGUCCCCUGAGAACAUCCAGGGUCACUACCCCUGAGGUCUCUGGUGUACUACGUGGCCCUGAUUAGGGCAAAGGGAAGUGAUCUGAGGGCCACUCUCUUCCUGUACAUACAGGGCCUUGCUGCUCUUGAGGGAUUGUCCUGGCAGGAUCAAAAGCAGCUCCUGCAUGGGGAUGCCCUGUCCUCCUGCUGUUAUCAUAGUAUGCCCUGUGCUCCCAGGAGGAGGCCGAGGUAUGUCCUGGGGACAGAAACAACAAGCUUAGGGUUAUUUGGGCACUCCCUUGUCUCCUGUCUGAGAGCGUGCAGGGUGGAGUCAUGCUAUCUUGCUGUGUGAUGACAAGUAGCUGACAAUGCAGGGGCACAAUAAAAACCCCCGAAUGGCCCACAUCUGAGGAGCGAGGGUUUGGUGAGCUGCUGGUUCUGAGAUAAUGGAUUAGUGAUAUGGGAACAAAAGACCUAGGACCUGGAAUCAUAAGAUCACAGGGCAUUAGGGUUGGAGGGAACAACCUUGUCUCUCAGCCCUAAUUCCUUUGAUAUCAUUUAACGAAUGAUCUUAACUCUAGGCUAACAGCCCUCGAGCUCAGGCACACCAUUUGUUUGUUCAUCAUUGUAAUUGCAGGAUGUGGUAGCUAGCCCUCACAAUGGUGGCUGAUGUGUGAUCAAUAGGCUAUGUCAUGGUAUUUCACUUCUAAGUCUAGGUCAUAAAGGGCAUUGUGGCACCUACCUUGAUUUCUCUCGGAUCACUCAUUCUGAGGGAAGAUAGCUGCCAUGUUGGGAGGACGUGCAAGCAGCCCUGUGAAGAGGUCAACACAGGGGGGAACUGAAGCCCCUUCCGAACAGCUAGCACCAACUUGCCAGACAGGAAAUCUUCCCACAGACUCAUUCAUGGAACCCCAAACCAUAUGGAGAAAAUUGAGCCAGAGAUGUGUUAUACUUCACAGCUGCCUUGGGUUGAAGAAUCUUGGCUGGUUUCUGAAAGGGCAGAAGUCUUGUCUAUGUUUAUUCUUGAACAGUCAGUGCCUAGCAUGAUGACUAGAACUUAGUAGGUAUUCAAUAAAUAUUUGUUGACUGAA